CAGAGAUAUUAACGACGACUAAACAUGUGGAACACAGCUGAACAUAAUAAGUUAUUAAGACCGGUGCACUCGUUAGACUAGAGAGACAACAGGAAGGAAAAACAUUGUGUGAGUGCUCUGGAUCAUAUUAACACUACUGGAUACAUUUACGGCAUCAAUGAAGAAUGGAUCAUUCCUGUAUCACGGGUGAAGCCACAUCCACCCACGGACCCCCCAACACUGCGGUGAGAGAGCUGCCACUACUUGGUAAUCAUGCAGGGUCUCAUGGGGAGCUCAGGGGAUGGGACCCGAUGGCAGAGCCUCUGGAAAACAAGGAGAGAUGCUAUGGUCCCCAGGGCCAUGAGGGAAAGAAACAAGAAGAGAAACGCAAGAGCUUCUUUAUCGUCAAAGAGUAUACAGUCAAGAUAGUAGGAACAACUGUCCUGGUCUCUCCCCUUAGGGAAAAAUGUAUGACAUCAAAAGGAUACAUUCAAUAAACAAUAAAAUGAAUAUACGUAUGUACACAUGUCAAAUUAUGUAUGCAUAUAUAUAUAUAUAUAUAUUUAUAAUAAUUAACAAAUCAAAUAGUUGAUCAGUAGGCAAAAACAGCCACGUAAAGGAAGCGUCCACAACGUGUG
ensembl:lncRNA